UUCUACCUGCGAGAAGCUUACCAACACGGCGAUUUGAAAGCUGUAUCGGGCCGAACUGAAGCCCAUUAGAAAAUUCACCAUCUCACGAACCGAAUAGGAAUCAGUUCCAUUUCUCUUCUUCGUUUAGCUCUUCUCUCAUCUCACCAGUCACCAGUUCCGAUCAAGCCAGAAUGCUGUCGUAGGCGAGCUUCCGGUGAACAAGUCAUCAUGACUCAUGAGCACGGUGACGCACUCGCUGGCGUUCAGAGU
rnacentral:lncRNA from 1 species